UGUAAGCCUACAUAGCUUACGCACCCCUCUCCUUUUUUACAAAAAAACAAAAAUGGCAAAAAGACAUGCUGGAGAAGACUACUUCUACAACAAAGGGUGCUGGAAACAUUGGAUAUUUAUGCUUGGGAGAAGGAAACUAGCUCCAUAUCCCUCCCUGUGUGUAAAACACAUCUUCUCCCUGUGUGCACCGAAGACCUCAACACAAGACCUGAAGUUAUUAAACUGCUAGAAGAAAAUGAUGGAAAUCACUUCAUGAUAAGGCCUCAGCUAUCGUUAAGAAAACAAAUGAGAAUGAAUGCCAGUGAGGAUACAGGAAACGAGGGAUGCAUGUCCACUACUGAAUUAGAUCGACUAUGUUCUCAGAAGAGCAUUGUGCAGUUUUGAUACUUACUGCUCUGGUACUUCGGCAGCAGAGAAGUGGCACAGAGAAUGGGAUUCAUGAUGACCUUAUGAAUGGAUCGAGUUGAUAGAAACACUAGAAUUCCCUCUCCACCAAGAUGCCAAGCAACCAAGCAGUGAGUCCAAGAAGAGAUCUCCUUGAGAAGGUGGCUCUGUGUAAACAUAAGGAUCAGAACUCAAGUGAUCUGGGGCUCUUGUGCUCUCUGCUCACUGUCUCAGUUCUACCCUUGAGAGUGCCUUUC